rnacentral:tRNA from 2 species
GGUGAGGUGUCCGAGCUGGCCGAAGGAGCUCCCCUGCUAAGGGAGUAUACGCCUUAAAAGCGUAUCGAGAGUUCGAAUCUCUCCCUCAUCGCCA